UGCCGUGCGAGGAGAUUAAACACCGACCCGAUCCAAUUUAUAGAGAGAGAAACGAACAAACAAACAGAGACGUAAACGGAUAGUCUUUUAUUUUCCCCCUUCAUUAUCCGAUCUUCCAAUCGAUCCCUUCCCCUUCUCUCUCUCUCUCUCUCUCUCUCUACACCUUCUCUCUCUGUAUCUAUAGAUUUCCCCCAAUAUUUGUCAGCGGUUUUCCGACCAAAACCCUAACACAAUCAUUCCGAUUAAUAUUCUUUCAUUCAAUAAUUUUAUCUCCCUGUUCAAUUACCCCCGAAGAAAAAACUGUUGAUAUCAUCUGUAUAAUACUGUUUUGAUUUUUAGCUAGGUUUUCGGUUUGGUUAUAUAGGGAAGGAGGAAAAAGUUUCCAGCUUUUUGUUUGUUUCCGAUUGAUUCUCGGAAGCGAUUUUGUAAAACAACAAAAAAAAGGAAGUUGGUUUGAUGGUGGAACGGGACGACGUAUUUGAAGCGUUUUUGUUCUGAUUUGGUGAGGGUUUUUUGUUCCACCAGCGAUUUUCUCCAAGUGUUUGGAGGGGAUGGAGACAGCUGUGAGAUGAAAGUUUGUUCAUUUGUGAAUGGUUAGGGCUUUUUAAAGGGAACUAGAACUGGGCUGAUGUUAUGAUCAGUUUUUUUUGCCAGUCAGUUGGGUUUGGAGAAUCAGAGGGUUUUGAUAUUUCUGUGUUCUCUUGUGAGUUGUUGGGAUGAGGAAUGAUGGCCAGAAGCAUCCUGGGCGGGCCAACGGGUUCAUUCCGACGUCGUUUCGUGCCCUUUCGAGCUACCUGAGGAUCGUUUCUUCCGGUGCUUCGAGUGUCGCGAGGUCGGCGGCAUCGGCUGCUUCGGCGAUUGUGGAGAGAGAUAAUGAUAACAGCCACGAUCAGGUGCUCUGGGCUGGGUUUGACAUUUUAGAAUGGGAGGGAGGCGUCACCCGCCGAGUUCUCUUGCUGGGGUAUCGGUCUGGUUUUCAGGUUUGGGAUGUUGAAGAAGCAGAUAAUGUUCGUGUCCUAGUCUCCAGGCAUGAUGGCCCUGUAUCGUUUAUGCAUGUGUUGCCUAAACCCAUAGCAUCAAAGAGAUUUGGGGAUAAAUUUGCAGAUAGCCGUCCUAUGCUGGCCGUUUGUGCGGAUGGAUCCCUUUGUGGAGGUGGUAAUUUUCCGGAUGCUAUAGGCAUGCCAUGUAAUGGAAGCACCCAAAAUUUCCAUGAUCCAGUAAAUGGUGGUUUUACACCAACUGUCAUUCGGUUUUACUCCUUAAGAUCUCAAUCUUAUGUUCAUGUGCUGAAGUUCCGAUCACCCAUUUAUUCGGUUCGGUGCAGCACUAGACUUGUUGCUAUUUCACAAGCAGCGCAGAUACACUGUUUUGAUGCUGCAACCUUAGAAAGGGACUAUACUAUUGUUACCAAUCAGGUAGUUACCGGGUGCUCUGGAUUUGGUGGAAUAGGCUAUGGACCUCUUGCAGUUGGUCCUAGGUGGCUGGCUUACAGUGGCAGUCCAGUUACAGUUUCAAAUUCUGGGCGUGUUACUCCACAACAUCUUACCCCUUCUGCAAGUGUUUCUGGUUCUGCUUCCAAUGGGAGCCUGGUUGUGCACUAUGCAAAAGAAUCGAGCAAGCAACUUGCUGCAGGGAUUGUGACUCUUGGGGACAUGGGAUAUAAGAAGCUGUCUAGGUACUACUCUGAUCUCUUACCUGAGAGCGACAGCUCUGUACAACUUGGGAAUCCUGGCUGGAGGGUUAAUGGGACUAUCAAUGGCCAUUCGCCAGAUGCAGAGAAUGUUGGAAUGGUAAUUGUCAGAGAUAUCGUCAGUAAGUCUGUCAUUGCCCAAUUCAGAGCGCAUAAGAGCCCAAUUUCGUCGUUAUGCUUUGAUCCUAGUGGGACCCUUUUAGUUACAGCUUCAGUUCAGGGUCACAACAUUAAUGUUUUCCGGAUAAUGCCGUUGCAAUCAGGAAGUUCCUCUGGAUCUGAUUCCCGUGCAUCUUACAUACAUCUGUAUAGGUUGCAACGAGGUUUUACAAAUGCAGUUAUACAGGAUAUCAGUUUCAGUGACGACAGUCACUGGAUCAUGAUUAGUUCCUCGAGAGGGACAAGCCAUUUGUUUGCUAUAUCUCCUUCAGGGGGAUUGGUCAAUGUUCAGCCACCUGAUGCUCUUUGUACUAGUAAAAACAAUGGACCAGGUAUUAUGAACAAGCCUGCAGUUCAUUGGGUGCCAAAUUCAGGUUCACACUCGCUUAAUCAACAGUGCCUCUGUGGAUCCGGUUCUCCUGUUACCCUUUCUGUUGUCAGCAGAAUAAGGAGUGGAAGCAAUGGUUGGAAAAGCACUGUAAGUGGUGCUGCAGCAGCUGCCACGGGUAGGAUGAGUUCCCUUCCUGGGGCUAUUGCUUCAGCUUUCCACAAGUGCAAAGGCAAUGAUUUCCAUGCGGGUAACAGCUCUUUGAAGGCAUUGAAUCACCUCUUGGUUUUCUCUCCGUCUGGCAGUCUGAUCCAAUAUGCACUGCAGGCAUCUUCUGGCUUAGAAUCUGCUGCUGUGGUGUCUGGAUUGGGGCCUCGGGACUCUUCUCCUGAGAAUGAUGCAAGGUUAGUAGUUGAGGCAAUCCAGAAGUGGAAUAUUUGUCAGAAACAGAAUCGGAGAGAACGGGAAGAUAAUAGUGACAUUUAUGGUGAAAAUGGGAAUUCGGACAGUAGUAAAAUUUUCCCUGAAAUAACAGAAAAGGAUGGUGUCUAUCCUGAGGUUAGGGGUCCAACCACUAAACCAAAGAAUAUUCCUGAGGAAAGAAAUCAUUUAUUUAUUGCUGAAGCUGAAUUGCAGAUGCAUCAAGCCCGCUUUCCAUUGUGGGCAAAACAUGAGAUAUACUUUCAGUCCAUGACAAUCGAUGGUAUCAAAAUAGAUGGGGAAGCUACUUCUGGAGGGGAAAUUGAGAUCGAGAGGAUUCCCACUCGUAUGAUUGAAGCAAGGUCUAAAGAUCUAGUUCCAAUAUUUGAAUAUCUUCACACUCCCAAAUUCCAGCAGGCGAGUACUCCUGCUUUAAGUAGCAGUAGUAGUAGUAGUAGCCGUCUGCUGCAUCAGAUGUCUGGGCCGUCUGACGAUGGCAGGCUUUCACGCAGAAGCAGCUCCGGCUCUCUUGACUCCAUGAAUGAUAGUAGCAGUGCUGUUGCUGAACUUCACGGCCGCAGUGAAGAAAUUGGUUGGCAAAGCCUUCGUAUACCACCAGAAACAACCAAGAUGUUUGUAAAUAAUGACGACAACCCUAAAUCAAACACUCCGCUUGAGAUUGUACAUAAUAGAGAGAGCUCAAUGAUGGAGGCCCAAGAUAAGUUUGUAAAUAAUAACGUGACAGGUCUGAAAAUGGAGAAUCACUUUGAAGAUGAAGGUGAUGAGUACGACUAAAGUACCUUGCUGUAUUAUUUCCCAAGACUAUGGUAGCUUAUAUGGCAACCCGUGCCAUUAAUCUUGUUACUCUAGACCGUCCUUGUGUGCAGGUAUUAUUUUGUUCUCCUGGUACCUUGUCAGUGUUAAUGUUGUGAGUGGAAGUUUAGAGGAGUGAGGUGCUGCAGCGCACUUGAUGCCGAUGCAGAAUUGUGGAUAGUUUGUUCUUGGAGUUUGUUCUGUUGAAAUUGUAAAUACCAAACAGUACAUCUACAUCUAUAUAUAUCAUAUAAUCAGUGUUCGUAUUAA